CAGUCGCCGCGGGAAUACGGAGGGUGCAAGCGUUAAUCGGAAUUACUGGGCGUAAAGCGCACGCAGGCGGUUUGUUAAGUCAGAUGUGAAAUCCCCGGGCUCAACCUGGGAACUGCAUUUGUGACUGUAUAGCUAGAGUACGGCAGAGGGGGAUGGAAUUCCGCGUGUAGCAGUGAAAUGCGUAGAUAUGCGGAGGAACACCGAUGGCGAAGGCAAUCCCCUGGGCCUGUACUGACGCUCAUGCACGAAAGCGUGGGGAGCAAACAGGAUUAGAUACCCCGGUAGUCCCUGUCUCUUAUAC
rnacentral:rRNA from 1 species